rnacentral:rRNA from 1 species
AUGACCAUGAGAGUUGCCUACAUCUUCACCACAUCCAUCUCAUUCCUUCUCUUGCUUAUCUCCGUUGCGCUUGCAAAGGAUCAUGGCAUCAGCUACCUUGGGCCAGGUUCCUCCAUCUCCACCAACAGCAGCAGCAACAGCACAACCACCACCAUCCUUUUAUCGCCCAGCGGUGCCUUCGCCUGUGGGUUCUAUAGGGUGGCCACCAACGCUUUCACCUUCUCCAUCUGGUUCACCGGCUCAUCAGGGAAGACCGUCGCUUGGACGGCUAACCGCGAUGUGCCCGUGAACGGUAGGGGAUCCAGGCUCUCCUUCCAAGAGCACGGGGGCUUGGCCCUGCUUGACUACGAUGGCACGGCCGUCUGGAGCACCAACAUGACCGCCGCUCGUGCAAGCCGAGCAGAGCUUCUCGACAGCGGCAACCUUGUCGUCGUGGAUCAGGACCAUCGGCAACUUUGGAAGAGCUUCGACUCAGCGACCGACACGCUUCUGCCAUCCCAGCCCAUGACCCGGUACGUACAGCUGGUAUCUGCAUCUGCCAGGGGUCUGCUCUACACAGGGUUCUAUACGUUGUACUUUGACAGUGACAAUCAGCUAAAACUCAUCUACGAUGGCCCCGAGAUUAGUAGCAUAUAUUGGCCCAACCCUGCCAACAAACUGUGGGUAAAUCAGAGGAGCGCUUACAACCGUAGUCGUUAUGCUGUUCUUCAACAGACAGGCCAGUUUUUCUCGAGUGACAACUCGUCAUUUGAUGCUUCUGAUCUUGGUGAAAAGGUCAUGAGGAGGUUGACUCUGGAUUACGAUGGCAACCUUAGGCUGUAUAGCCUAAACGCAACAAGCGGCGAUUGGUCAGUCUCUUGGAUGGCACUCCGCCGAGUCUGCGAUGUACAUGGACUAUGUGGCAAAAACAGCCUAUGCAAAUACAUACCAAAGCUCGAGUGCUCUUGCCUCGAAGGCUUCGAGGUGGUUGAUGCAAGCAACUGGAGCAAAGGGUGCAGGCGCAAGGCAAACAUAACAGCCAGCUGGGACGACCGGAGAAGACAUGAGGCAAACAACAUGGCCACUUUUUCGUUCAGUAAGCUUGCACAAACUGACUUUUACCAGCAUGACUUGGAGUACGCAGACUCGGUGCCAUUCUUGCAGUGCAAAGAGGCAUGCUCGGACAAUGUUGAUUGCCAAGCUUUUUCGUACCGACGAGGAGAAGGCAAAUGUUAUCCAAAGGUCUCUCUUCUGAAUGGCAAGAACUUCCCAGACCCUUACAAUGACAUUUAUCUGAAAGUUCCCAAGGUAGUGAUGUCUACGCCAGAAUUGGCUUCUACAGUAACCCACGAAUGCAAAAUUCAUGAAAAAGAAGCAGACAUUUCAUCGCGGAUGUUCAAGGGUGCCAUUUCCAAGUUCAAGGUUGGCUACUUCCUUUCUUCAGCAUUAACGCUGCUUUUCAUCGAAGUAGCUUUAAUCAUCGCUGGUUGUUUGGUAGUUUACAAAUGGAAGAUAGGACCAGAGGUUACAGAUGAAGGUUACACGAUAAUAUCCAGCCAGUUCCGAAUAUUUAGUCACAGUGAGUUACUGAAAGCAACCAAUUGCUUCCAGGAAGAGCUAGGAAGUGGUGGGUCAGGAGCAGUUUACAAAGGAGUCCUUGAUGAUGAAAGGACGGUUGCAGUGAAGAAGCUAAACGAUGUGAUCCAUGGAGAGCAGGAGUUCAGGUCUGAGCUAAGUGUCAUAGGCAGAAUUUAUCAUAUGAAUCUGGUCAGAAUUUGGGGGUUUUCUGUCGAGAAGACGUGCAAGCUCUUGGUUUCUGAGUUCAUCGAGAAUGGUUCUUUAGACAGAGCUCUGUUUGAUUACCAAAGAAUAAUCCCUGUGCUCCAAUGGAACCAAAGGUAUAAUAUUGCACUUGGGGUGGCAAAAGGACUGGCCUAUCUCCACCAUGAGUGCCUUGAAUGGAUAGUGCAUUGUGAUGUCAAACCAGAGAACAUAUUGUUAGAUAAAGACUUUGAGCCCAAGAUUGCAGAUUUUGGACUGGUUAAGCUACAAAAGCGAGGAUCAAGAGCACUGAUGUUGUCAAGGGUACAUGGGACCAGAGGAUAUAUUGCACCGGAAUGGGCUCUAAACCUUCCAAUCACUGGCAAGGCCGAUGUUUACAGCUAUGGAGUAGUUCUUCUUGAGUUAGUGAAGGGGAUUCGGGUUUCUAGUUGGAUGGUCGACGCUGAGGAGGAGGUGGAAAUGGCUGUUAGAUGCUCUACUGAAAUUCUUAAAGAGAAACUAGCAGGUGAAGACCAGUCAUGGCUUCUGGAGUUUGUCGACCACAGACUGGAUGGAGAAUUCAACCAUUCAGAAGCGAUGGUAAUGCUUAAGAUAGCAGUAUCAUGUGUGGAAGAAGAGAGGAGCAGAAGACCGAGCAUGAGCCAUGUGGUUGAAACAAUGCUUUCACUUGUGGAAUAA